GUGGGUAUAGCUUAAUGGUAGAGUGUGUACUUUGCAUACAUAAGGUCCUGGGUUCAGUCCCCAGUACCUCCA
rnacentral:tRNA from 1 species